UACGAAGGGUGCAAGCGUUACUCGGAAUUACUGGGCGUAAAGCGUGCGUAGGCGGUUUGUUAAGUCCGCUGUGAAAGCCCUGGGCUCAACCUGGGAAUUGCAGUGGAUACUGGCAAGCUAGAGUGUGGUAGAGGAUGGUGGAAUUCCCGGUGUAGCGGUGAAAUGCGUAGAGAUCGGGAGGAACACCCGUGGCGAAGGCGGCCAUCUGGACCAGCACUGACGCUGAGGCACGAAAGCGUGGGGAGCAAACAGG
rnacentral:rRNA from 1 species